rnacentral:tRNA from 1 species
GCACCAUUAGCGCAAUUGGAUAGAGCGUCGGUCUACGGAACCGAAGGUUAGGGAUUCGAAUUCCUUAUGGUGCACCA